rnacentral:rRNA from 1 species
AUACGGAGGGUGCGAGCGUUAAUCGGAAUUACUGGGCGUAAAGCGUACGUAGGCGGUUGGUUAAGUUAGAUGUGAAAGCCCCGGGCUUAACCUGGGAACUGCAUUUAAAACUGGCGUACUAGAGUUGAGUAGAGGGGAGUGGAAUUUCAGGUGUAGCGGUGAAAUGCGUAGAGAUCUGAAGGAACACCAGUGGCGAAGGCGACUCCCUGGACUCGAACUGACGCUGAGGUACGAAAGCGUGGGUAACAAACGGGAUUAGAAACCCCGGUAGUCC